GACGAACGCUGGCGGCAUGCUUAACACAUGCAAGUCGAACGAACCGUUCGUGGUUAUGGGCGGAGGGCUGAUUACCACCUGGGAACUAACCCUUGGGUUCGGUAUACUUCAGUGAGACAUAACUUCAUACCGAUGGUGCCCUUAGCGGGUAAGAUUAAUCGCCUCUUGAUCGGCCGGCGACUGUUUCGCUAGUUGGGUGAGGUAAUGGCUCAUAAAGGCGACGAUGAGUAGCUGGGGUGUGAGGAUGAUUAGCCACAUUGGGACUGUGACACGGCCCAAACUCCUACGGGAGGCAGCAGUGUGGUAUCUUGCGCAAUGGGCGAAAGCCUGACGCAGCCAUGCCGCGUGAAUGAUGAAGGUCUUAGGAUUGUAAAAUUCUUUCACCGGGGACGAUAAUGACGGUACCCGGAGAAGAAGCCCCGGCUAACUUCGUG
rnacentral:rRNA from 1 species